rnacentral:tRNA from 1 species
CAAAGAAUAGUUUAAUGAAGAAUCCUGGCUUUGGGAGCCAGGGGCGGGGGUUAAACCCCUCCUUCUUUGA